rnacentral:rRNA from 1 species
UACGUAGGGUGCGAGCGUUGUCCGGAAUUACUGGGCGUAAAGAGCUCGUAGGUGGUUUGUCGCGUUGUUCGUGAAAACCGGGGGCUUAACCCUCGGCGUGCGGGCGAUACGGGCAGACUUGAGUACUGCAGGGGAGACUGGAAUUCCUGGUGUAGCGGUGGAAUGCGCAGAUAUCAGGAGGAACACCGGUGGCGAAAGGCGGCACUCUGGGACGGUACUGACGCUGAUGCGCGAAAGCCAGGGGAGCAAACGGG